rnacentral:rRNA from 1 species
CGGUUGAUCCUGCCGGAGGCCAUUGCUAUCGGAGUCCGAUUUAGCCAUGCUAGUCGCACGAGUUUAGACUCGUGGCAUAUAGCUCAGUAACACGUGGCCAAACUACCCUACAGACCGCAAUAACCUCGGGAAACUGAGGCCAAUAGCGGAUAUAACUCUCAGACUGGAGUGUCGAGAGUUAGAAACGUUCCGGCGCUGUAGGAUGUGGCUGCGGCCGAUUAGGUAGAUGGUGGGGUAACGGCCCACCAUGCCGAUAAUCGGUACAGGUUGUGAGAGCAAGAGCCUGGAGACGGUAUCUGAGACAAGAUACCGGGCCCUACGGGGCGCAGCAGGCGCGAAACCUUUACACUGCACGACAGUGCGAUAGGGGGACUCCGAGUGUGAGGGCAUAUAGCCCUCGCUUUUCUGCACCGUAAGGUGGUGCAAGAACAAGGACUGGGCAAGACCGGUGCCAGCCGCCGCGGUAAUACCGGCAGUCCAAGUGAUGGCCGAUAUUAUUGGGCCUAAAGCGUCCGUAGCUUGCUGUGUAAGUCCAUUGGGAAAUCGACCAGCUCAACUGGUCGACGUCCGGUGGAAACUACACAGCUUGGGGCCGAGAGACUCAACGGGUACGUCCGGGGUAGGAGUGAAAUCCUAUAAUCCUGGACGGACCACCAAUGGGGAAACCACGUUGAGAGACCGGACCCGACAGUGAGGGACGAAAGCCAGGGUCUCGAACCGGAUUANAUACCCGGGUAGUCCUGGNCGUAAACAAUGNUCGCUAGGUAUGUCACGCGCCAUGAGCACGUGAUGUGCCGUAGUGAANANNAUAAGCGAGCCNNCUGGGGAGUACGUCCGCAAGGAUG